UAACGUUUUACUAAAAAUGGCGGGGACUAAACUUGUGGGAAAUUAAUAUCUCUACAACUUUGGGAACGAUAGUUUUUUGUCUACGAUCCAUACUUUGCGAUUUAAACUAUAAAUUCAACACGGCGGACGAAGCUAAUGUAGUCUCUGUGAGAAAUUCGGGAUUUAGACUAACCCCCUACCCCAAAGAUUAGGAAAAGAAAAUUUUGGUAUCUAGAAAUUGCAGUUUCUGGUUCAUUUUUAUUUUUAUGCUGUACAUUCUGACUGGGCUAUAUAUGCAGGGAAGGGAUAACCGUGACGCGUUCCGCGUAGAGCCGCGAGCCGUCUGGAAAUUCCCGGUAUGUAUACCGCAUACUUUAUACAUGAUACAUGUGUGCAAACGGUAUACGCGAUACGUGAUAAGGAGAAGGGGGGUAAACGAGUGUGAGAUCCUCCGGAUGUACGAUGCGUAUCGUGGUUGGAUGACUCGACGUUGAUCAGUUCUUAGUAAUUUGAGUUGAGCACUCGUUGUUAUUCCAUCCAAGCUUCGAUCUCACCGAUGGUUUUGGGUCUCAGCGUCAGUUGACGUCACGAAUACCAAUAUAAAAAAAAACUGCAGCGUCACGGAGUAUAAAAAUAUGUAGAUAGUCUUUAAUUUUCCACUGCAGCAUCUACCGAUGUACGAUUUUCCUGUUGUGAUUCCGCAACAUCAUCGAAUAGUCUUCCAUUUUUUUUUUUUUCGUAUUUCAUUUACUUAGACUCUUUAACGAGUUUAUAAUUCGGAUGUUAUUAUGGAUUCGGAAAAACUUGAUUACGUCACAUAUGAUAACAUGUAACCUGUUAUUGUGGUUUCCUACUCAACUCAACGACGAUAACCUAAAUUGGUUCAGAUUUACGGUUGGUUCGGACCGGACAAGUCGGGAUAAGUAUACCAGCUCUAGCGGGUCUAAUGAUUCAAUUAAGAUUGCAAAUUGCGGAUUAGGGGAUGACAACGACAGGUCACGAGGAGAAUUUAUAAUGUACUUGAUACACAUAUUUGUGAAGUAUGUAAAAUCACAUACAGGAGAUAGGCGGACAAAACGGGCCCACUAAUGGAAGAAUAACGUUGGACCGAUUUCAACGACGCGUUUGUUUUUAUCUUUGGCCUGGAAACACACUUCAAGUGGCAUUUUUUUAAAUCCCAUUUCAUUGUAUAAAGGGCCCAUUUUGCCCGUCUCUCGUCUACAUCUGAUGCGUAAGUCAGGAACGUGUUGUGUUGUUUUUACGAACAGACAGUAUUUUCGAUCUGUGGUUUGUUUAUUUUUUGUGUUACUCAACUUCUUGCUUCAGAGUUUUUUUUUUUUUCUUACUGUAGUUAGAUAAACCGAACGUAAGAAUUACGGUACGUAGAGUCCCGAAUAUGUAUGUAACUUUUACUUGGAACAAAAUCUAGCCUCCGACCGCAGAGGAAGACCCUUUAUACAAAAGAAAAACUCUGUACGAAACAACUACCGUUAUUUCACCGUCCGGUUUUCUUUGAAAAUCAGUUACUAUUUGAGUUGAAAAAUGCAUUGUACUUUCGCAGGACGGUCGAAAAAUUCCCGGAAGACAAAAUAAGUUAGGUAGGUAUUACAAGAGUACACAAGUUCGGCGGCAAGCCUUCUGAACGAGUGUUUUCCAUUCCCCUUGAUUGCAGGCAACGUAAACCAGGAAAUGUACCGAAGAAACUGUAAACGCGUAGAUGACGUGACCGCUGAAAGCAUCGACAAAGUCCAGGCCAAAGGUAUUAUCGCAAGCCGUCGAGGUCAAGUAACAAGUUCACGAACGAUAUCGAAAGCCGAUUUCAUACAUCGAUAUGGUAAAGAGAAACAGUGGAAAAUCUCUGAGAUCCGAUUCACCGGUUGGGUUUGGAAAUAAGGACGAUGACGAAGACUCGAGAGUUCCUCAAGGCGGAACUCGCAUUCCAGAGAGCCAGUUCGACACCUGCAGUCCACCCCAUGUAUGCACAUGCAUGCACAUGUACAAUGUGCAUAUAUGUACAAGGGUGGGUGCAAUGUGGAACGAGUAGAGCGGCGAACGGCGUGGCCUUCGCUAUGUCUUGCAAUGGCCAUGCACACCAUGCAGCGACAGCAAUCGAUCGUUGGAACACAUUUCAGACUGCAGAUAAGCAUUACUUCCUCGUGAUAUCUUAUCGUUGGGAUCAGAUCGUGAAAAAAAAUUGUCCGAUAAGCUGAUUCUUAAAUAUCGGAGUACAGGAUAUGACGAAUUUCGAAUAGCUAUACACAUACGUAUAUAUAAUAUGUAUUGAGUGAUAAUUAAGAAAACAGACAUGAAUCCAGCAGUUGAAAAUUUGCAUAAGUGUAUACGAUAAUUAUAAAAUAGAAAGAAAACUGUGUUUCUCUUGAUUUUUCUUUUCCCAAAGCAAAAUAAUAAAAAGAACAGCAAAAAUACGUUUACAGACAGCUGGACAGAAAAAAUAAGUCUACAACGGAAGGGAAAAAAAAACGUAACAAAAGACAUACCGCAACUCGCGCGGAUAAUAUUUAUAAUUUACCGUCGACGAGCCAUUAGAAUCGUCGGUUAUUUUCAUAAUAUAAAUUAUGAUAAUAGGCAGCGGUAAUGGGGAAUAUCGUCGGAGUUAAUGCAGCAGCGGAGAGCUUCAAGUAUAUCGCGAUUUAUUGCGAAACUGCAACAAGCACUUAGUGCCGUGCAAUUGAGUCCAUAGUGUGCGAAUAAGAAGGCCGAAUUAACACGUAUUGACGAAUUUAUGCUAUAGGUAGAUUUAAGCCUGCACCGCGAGUUCGAAGCGAUAACUGAGCCGCGAGAAGCGAGAUGGAAGAUUCUCGAAAGCGUUAUAAGGAAGUUCCAGCGGCUCCAGCAGGGGGCUUCCCGAGUCAACCUUGCGCAGGCUCAACGCCGACGCCGCGACGUCGACGUCGAGGCGCCUCGCCCACUCCAGCUAUCAACGCUAUCAUCGCCUGGCGUCCCUUCUCCACCUCCACCAAGCCGAGACUCCGGCGGCAGCGCCAACAGCUGAUUGUGACACUAUCAAGGUCGCUUUCUGACACACGCUUCCAUCUACGUCACACCGUCGAGCCUUUCUCGCCGACCAAUCGGAGACCCUCGAUGAACGACUUGACCUGCGCGGUUGGACUUUCGCUCUGCCUCUCUGUGUUACGUAUCGACGCAUAUGGAUGGCUUCGAGCGCGUGUGCUUGCAUAGUAUAGGUAUUGUAUGCGAACCAGUCGAUAUCCGACCAGUUUUACGGUUAUACUUUCUUCGGAAGUAAAACAAUUAGGAAAUUAAAUAUACGGACAAGAAGUUUUUUAACGUAUGUAGACAUGCCUCGACCGAUUGUGAUGUACCCAUCUCCAAGAGCAGAACUUGGCACAGGCUGACCUCCAGUAUUUGUACCCAUUGCAUACGCUGGAUCAAGAUCAUAUAUUACCAAGAUGUCACAGGACUCACUGGAGGCAUUGGUCGUCUUGGUACAGAUGGAGUUCCUUCUCCAAAUAAAGCCGUAGCUUGUACUGGAUUCGGUGAUCUGUGGUGACGUUGACUAUUAGUACAGAAGAGCGACAAACAUUUCAGUAAAUUAUUGACACGUCAUAAGCAGUAUGCGAUAGUGUGUCAUAUUUUUUACCUAAUCAGUGGCUUUGAGACUCGAGAAAUUGGGCCAUACUUGCUGGCUGGGGGGGCAUCGAAUGGUACGAAUUCAUCAUCCAACAAUAUAGAAUCGGAGUGAUGAAAAUUAUUUCCAUGAUUUAUAUUGGACGAUGAAGAUAUUUGCGAUCCAGAAAUGUUU